CCUACGGGUGGCAGCAGUGAGGAAUAUUGGUCAAUGUGCGAGAGCCUGAACCAGCCAAGUCGCGUGAAGGAUGAAGGUUCUAUGGAUUGUAAACUUCUUUUAUCUGGGAACAAAGUGCGGAACGCGUUGCUUUUUGUGUGUACCAUAUGAAUAAGCAUCGGCUAACUCCGUGCCAGCAGCCGCGGUAAUACGGAGGAUGCGAGCGUUAUCCGGAUUUAUUGGGUUUAAAGGGUGCGUAGGUGGUUAAUUAAGUCAGCGGGUAAAGUUGGUGGCUCAACCAUAAAAUGGCCGUUGAAACUGGUUGACUUGAGUAUAUUUGAGGUAGGCGGAAUGCGUGGUGUAGCGGUGAAAUGCAUAGAUAUCACGCAGAACUCCGAUUGCGAAGGCAGCUUACUAACCUAUAACUGACACUGAAGCACGAAAGCGUGGGGAUCAAACAGGAUUAGAUACCCCAGUAGUC
rnacentral:rRNA from 1 species